rnacentral:lncRNA from 1 species
AUAAAUCUCAUAGGAGUUGGGAAGAAGAAGUUAUCCCACUUUCAAAUCAGUUGAUUCUAGUUUCCCAGUUUGGGAAUAAGACAACUUCUUCGUCGUUCCAAUCGAACUAGGAUGAAUCCCUUUGUAAGAAGAUUGAUAUGGAUACAUAAAGUGGUGGAGAAUGACCAGGAAGUUGAAAAAAAUCUCAUAGGAGCUGGGAAGAAGAAGUUAUCCCACAUUCAAAUUAGUUGAUUCCAGUUUCCCAGUUAGGGAAUAUGACAACUUCUUCGUCGUUCCAAUCGAACCAGGAUGAAUCACUUUAUAAGAAGCUUGAUCUGGAUACAUAAAGUGGUGGAGAAUGACCAGGAAGUUGAAAAAAAUCUCAUAGAAGCUGGGAAGAAGAAGUUAUCCCACUUUCAAAUCAGUUGAUUCCAGUUUUCCAAUUUGGGAAUAAGACAACUUCUUCGUUGUUCCAAUCGAACCAGGAUGAAUCACUUUGUAAGAAGCUUGAUAUGGAUACAUAAACUGGA